ACUGCACUGUUACAAGCACUUGACAUAUGUUACUUUCUCAAUUUAUGUAGAGAAUGUUGUAUGUGAGAGUUUGGAGAAACAUGAAAAUAUGUGCUGUGUAAUUCUGAUAAUUACAUACUUUUUUAGGCUUUACACUUGGAGGUGUUACAAUUUAAGGGAGUGGCACCAUACAAACAGAACACAAGCAGCAAGUGUGAAAAAAAUAGAUCUUUUUAAGAACCACGGCUUCACCAAACAAUGGUGUAUUUACUGUAGUCCUGCUCAUCCAGCCAGCAUUGCAGAAGUUAGACUACUCAUAAAAGAGAUGAAGUUUGAUGAACUGAGACAAAUAAUGAUGUCACCAUUAUCUUUUGGCACUGCAGGUUUGCGAUCAAAAAUGGGAGCAGGUUUUAAUAGAAUAAAUGAUUUGACAAUCAUACAAGCUACUCAAGGUCUUUGUAGGUAUUUAGAAAAGCAGUUUCCAGAUAUCAAAGAAAGGGGAGUCAUUAUUGGAUUUGAUGCACGGCAUAACAGUAAACGCCUUGCCCAAAGAACAAGCUGUGUAUUUGCCAGCCAAGGAGUCCCAGUGUAUAUUUUUUCAAGUAUUACGCCCACUCCAUUUGUUCCCUAUGGAGUUUUGAAAUAUAGAUGUGUUUGUGGAGUUAUGAUAACGGCUUCACACAACCCCAAAGAUGAUAAUGGUUAUAAGGUCUAUUUGGAUAAUGGAGCUCAGAUCAAAUCCCCUCAUGACAAGGGUAUUUCCCAGUGUAUUGCUGAAAACAGAAUUCCUUGGGAAAACUCCUGGGAAAUCAGUCUAGUCAAUCCACUUAUUAAAGACCCUUAUGAGGAGAUAUGUGCAUCUUACUUUGAAGACAUAAAAAAGUAUUGCCAUUACAGUGAAGACAACAGAAAAACCCGGCUGAAAUACACUUUCACUCCUAUGCAUGGUGUUGGACAGAGGUUUGCUGAGCUGGCAUUUGAGGCAUUCAACCUACCUCCUUUUGUAUCUGUGAGAGAACAGAUGGAUCCAGAUCCUGAAUUUCCAACUGUAAAAUAUCCUAACCCUGAGGAAGGAAAGAGUGCCUUAGACCUUGCAAUGAAUACUGCUAAUGAGAAUGGCUGUUCCAUUAUUCUGGCAAAUGAUCCUGACUCUGAUAGAAUGGCUCUUGCAGAGAAACAGCCAACUGGUCAGUGGAAGGUAUUCACUGGAAAUGAGAUUGGAAGUAUGUUUGGAUGGUGGGCAUUCACUUGUCACAAAAAAAAACAUCCUGAGCUAUAUCCAGGCUCAUCUGUUUACAUGAUUGCCAGCACAGUUUCUUCAAAAAUGCUUCAAGCUAUGGCUAGAGAAGAAGGUUUCCUGUUUGAAGAAACUCUGACAGGCUUCAAAUGGAUGGGUAAUCUCGCUUGUGAUCUUAUGGCCCAAGGAAAAACUGUCCUCUUUACAUUUGAAGAAGCAAUAGGGUUUAUGUAUGGCACUACUGUUUUUGACAAAGAUGGCAUCAGCGCUGCUGUGGUAAUGGCAGAAAUGGCUUCUUACCUCAACCGUCAGGGACUUACCUUAACAGAGCAGCUAAACAAUUUGUACAAGAGAUAUGGUGUCCACGUGACUAACAACUCUUACUACCUUUGUUAUUCUCCAUCGACAAUAAAGUCCAUCUUUGAUCGCAUAAGGACUCUCGAGAAUGCUUGGGUGAGUUGUAAGUGUAUAGUAACACUCUGUUUUCUGUACCUUGGUAUGAUCCUUUAAAACCCGUCAAUCAGGAAAGGUUACGCCAUGCGAAGGGGCAAUCAGAGUCGAAUCACCUAUGAAGUAAGCGUACAACCGUAAAGGAACUACGACUGCAUGCUUUCUAGAUCAAUGCAAUAGUUUCCUGCUUAGUACGAAUGUUAUUUUCGUAAUUUUGUUUGGCUGCUCGUUUCGCUUCUUCGAUAAAAGUAGCCGUCUCAAAAUUUGACACUGUUGAGUUCAUUGAAAUAUUCCAAUAUUGCACGCGUAGGUGAACAAAAAUAAACAGUGACAGAUGGGAUUCCUCUUCGACACAGACAGCAUUUUACAAAAUUAAAGGAAAAGACAAAAACUAGCCGUCGUUCCCUAAGACCAACAUAACACUAGAUGUAUGUCGUUUUGUUUAUGUAGUAUUUCAUGUAGGGAAAUUUCAUGUAUUGACAUGCCUUCGAAUUAGCGUCAUAGGAGAAAUACUAUAAUAGAAAGUCUUUACUCCAUAAGUUUUAGUUCCUCGUUGAUACUAUGAAAUUUAGCACAUUAGCGUAGAACAAGGGCAAUAUAUAUAUUUCUUAUGUUGGAGCUGAUUAUGUUAACUGUUAUAUGUCCAAGGUGAUAAAUCAACAGUAAACUUAGCAGCAUUCUAAGUUUUGAAACGUACCCCAGUGCGUGCGGUCUCUAUAAACUCUCUGGUAUCAGAGAUCUAACUGCUGGAUAUGAUAGUACCAAGCCUGGUGACAAACCGGU